rnacentral:rRNA from 1 species
GACGUAGGGGGCCAGCGUUGUUCGGAAUUACUGGGUGUAAAGGGUGCGUAGGUGGGUUGGUAAGUCAGUGGUGAAAUCUUCGAGCUUAACUCGGAAACUGCCAUUGAUACUAUCAAUCUUGAAUACUUUGGAGGUAAGCGGAAUAUGUCAUGUAGCGGUGAAAUGCUUAGAUAUGACAUAGAACACCAAUUGCGAAGGCAGCUUGCUACACAGUUAUUGACACUGAGGCACGAAAGCGUGGGGAUCAAACAGG